AGAGUUUGAUCAUGGCUCAGAUUGAACGCUGGCGGCAUGCCUUACACAUGCAAGUCGAACGGUAACGGGCCUUCGGGUGCCGACGAGUGGCGAACGGUGAGUAAUGCAUCGGAACGUACCUUUCAGUGGGGAUAACGUAGCGAAAGUUACGCUAAUACCGCAUAUUCUGUGAGCAGGAAAGCAGGGGAUCGCAAGACCUUGCGCUGAUUGAGCGGCCGAUGUCAGAUUAGCUAGUUGGUGAGGUAAAGGCUCACCAAGGCGACGAUCUGUAGCGGGUCUGAGAGGAUGAUCCGCCACACUGGAACUGAGACACGGUCCAGACUCCUACGGGAGGCAGCAGUGGGGAAUUUUGGACAAUAGGGGCAACCCUGAUCCAGCCAUGCCGCGUGAGUGAAGAAGGCCUUCGGGUUGUAAAGCUCUUUCGGCCGGGAAGAAAUCGCAUGGGUUAAUACCCUGUGCGGAUGACGGUACCGGCAUAAGAAGCACCGGCUAACUACGUG
rnacentral:rRNA from 1 species